GACGAACGCUGGCGGCGUGCCUAAUACAUGCAAGUAGAACGCACAGUUUAUACCGUAGCUUGCUACACCAUAGACUGUGAGUUGCGAACGGGUGAGUAACGCGUAGGUAACCUGCCUGGUAGCGGGGGAUAACUAUUGGAAACGAUAGCUAAUACCGCAUAAUAUUGAUUAUUGCAUGAUAAUUGAUUGAAAGAUGCUAUUGCAUCACUACCAGAUGGACCUGCGUUGUAUUAGCUAGUAGGUGAGGUAACGGCUCACCUAGGCGACGAUACAUAGCCGACCUGAGAGGGUGAUCGGCCACACUGGGACUGAGACACGGCCCAGACUCCUACGGGAGGCAGCAGUAGGGAAUCUUCGGCAAUGGACGAAAGUCUGACCGAGCAACGCCGCGUGAGUGAAGAAGGUUUUCGGAUCGUAAAACUCUGUUGUAAGAGAAGAACGGGUGUGAGAGUGGAAAGUUCACACUGUGACGGUAUCUUACCAGAAAGGGACGGCUAACUACGUG
rnacentral:rRNA from 1 species